rnacentral:misc_RNA from 1 species
CAGAGAUCAUGCCCUCACGGGUAGACCUCCCACCCUGUGUUAUUUACGAUUGUUGCUUUGGCAGGCCGCCUUCGGGCGCUCGGCUUCGGCUGAGGUGCGCCUGCCAGAGGACCCCCAACUCUGUGUUUAGUGUUGUCUGAGUCUUAUUUAAUACGUUA